rnacentral:rRNA from 1 species
AGAAUCAACGCUGGCGGCGUGCCUAACACAUGCAAGUCGCACGAGAAAGGGGAGCAAUCCCUGAGUAAAGUGGCGCACGGGUGAGUAACACGUGAAUAAUCUACCUCCGAGUGGGGAAUAACUGAGAGAAAUCUUAGCUAAUACCGCAUAACACUUACGAGUCAAAGCAGCAAUGCGCUUGGAGAGGAGUUCGCGGCCGAUUAGUUAGUUGGCGGGGUAAUGGCCCACCAAGACGAUGAUCGGUAUCCGGCCUGAGAGGGCGCGACGGAACGACGACUGGAACUGAACACGGUCCAGACUCCUACGGAGGCAGCAGUGGGGAAUUUUGCGCAAUGGGGGAAACCCUGACGCAGCAACGCCGCGUGGAGGAUGAAGCCCCUUGGGGUGUAAACUCCUUUCGAUCGGGAAGAUAAUGACGGUACCGAUAUAAGAAGCCCCGGCUAACUUCGUGCCAGCAGCCGC